rnacentral:rRNA from 1 species
GACGAACGCUGGCGGCGUGCUUAACACAUGCAAGUCGAACGGAAAGGCCCUGCUUUUGUGGGGUGCUCGAGUGGCGAACGGGUGAGUAACACGUGAGUAACCUGCCCUUGACUUUGGGAUAACUUCAGGAAACUGGGGCUAAUACCGGAUAGGAGCUCCUGCUGCAUGGUGGGGGGUGGAAAGUUUCGGCGGUUGGGGAUGGACUCGCGGCUUAUCAGCUUGUUGGUGGGGUAGUGGCUUACCAAGGCUUUGACGGGUAGCCGGCCUGAGAGGGUGACCGGCCACAUUGGGACUGAGAUACGGCCCAGACUCCUACGGGAGGCAGCAGUGGGGAAUAUUGCACAAUGGGCGGAAGCCUGAUGCAGCAACGCCGCGUGCGGGAUGACGGCCUUCGGGUUGUAAACCGCUUUCGCCUGUGACGAAGCGUGAGUGACGGUAAUGGGUAAUGAAGCACCGGCUAACUACGUG